AUAUCAAUAAGCGGAGGAAAAGAAACUAACAAGGAUUCCCCUAGUAACUGCGAGUGAAGCGGGAAAAGCUCAAAUUUAAAAUCUGGUGGCCUUUGGCCAUCCGAGUUGUAAUUUAGAGAAGCGUCUUCCGCGCUGGACCAUGCACAAGUCUCCUGGAAUGGAGCGUCAUAGAGGGUGAGAAUCCCGUCUUUGGCAUGGACACACCAGGGCUUUUGUGAUGCGCUCUCGAAGAGUCGAGUUGUUUGGGAAUGCAGCUCAAAAUGGGUGGUGAACUCCAUCUAAAGCUAAAUAUUGGCGAGAGACCGAUAGCGAACAAGUACCGUGAGGGAAAGAUGAAAAGCACUUUGGAAAGAGAGUGAAACAGUACGUGAAAUUGUUGAAAGGGAAACGCUUGAAGUCAGUCGCGUCGACCGAGACUCAGCCUUGCCUCGGCUUGGUGUACUUCUCGGCUUGACGGGUCAGCAUCAAUUUUGCCCCUUGGAUAAUGGUGAGGGAAAUGUGACACCUUUACGGUGUGUUAUAGUCUCUCGUCGCAUGCAAGGGUUGGGAUUGAGGAACUCAGCACGCACCUCCGGGUGUCGGGGCUUUGCCUACGAUACGUGCUUAGGAUGUUGGCGUAAUGGCUUUAAACGACCCGUCUUGAAACACGGACCAAGGAGUCUAACAUGCCUGCGAGUGUUCGGGUGGAAAACCCGUGCGCGCAAUGAAAGUGAAAGUUGGGACCUCUGUCGUGGAGGGCACCGACGCCCGGACCAGACCUUCUGUGACGGCUCUGCGGUAAAGCAUGUAUGUUAGGACCCGAAAGAUGGUGAACUAUGCCUGAAUAGGGUGAAGCCAGAGGAAACUCUGGUGGAGGCUCGUAGCGAUUCUGACGUGCAAAUCGAUCGUCAAAUUUGGGUAUAGGGGCGAAAGACUAAUCGAACCAUCUAGUAGCUGGUUCCUGCCGAU
rnacentral:rRNA from 1 species